CUAAGCCUGAGAUAGGCUACUCUCCCCCAACAGUGGGAAGGAAACUGGGAGGUUCCGGCUGUUUCGAGCUGUAUCAGGGAACGGCACCUAAGAGAAGACAAAAGAUCCAGUAAACAGGGAAAGACCGGCACCAGGGUACGUAAACUGACCGUUUUAUAUGCUGGUCCGGGCCCACAGUGCUUUCAAGAUGGCGCAGGCCUGUCUUCUCCCGCUCACUCUGAGUCCCUCAGCUACCAAACAAGGACUGCACCGUCAAGAGAGCCGUUUGCCUCCCAGAGCCAGAGUUUGUCAGUGCUGCUGUCACUGCAACAGAUUUCUGCGGCUCUGUCUCUGUCUCCCACUGGCCUUCUACUCACAGCCUCUGGAGGAAGAAGCGAAGGGCACCAUGGUGCAUAUUACUCAGCCCCAGCAUCUCCUAUAAGUGGCAGCCUUUUGAAGCAACGUCAACAGCUGGAGGAUGAUGACCUGGUCUCUGCUAAUGAUGGGGGAGCAGAAAUUUACAACUGAAAAUCAUUACUCUCUGAAAAGGAACAUCAAAGUAGUGUAUGGAAAUUCUCAUUAAAG